AUGUAUUAAAAAAUUGUCAUGAAAAUAAUAUAUUUCAUCGUUCUUGUUUUAAAAUUAAUACUGAAAUCAGUAUGAAUUCAUACAAUAAUUGUUAUGUGUAUACGAAAAGCAAAUUUUGCACGUCAAAACAUCGAAGAGAACGCGAGCGAUAAAUCAGUCAGCGUCGACUGUGCGAACAGUUGCGAAUGACGCGAAACGGAAAGUUUUCCGCCUCUUGCGUUGAUCAAAGAUCACAACUUUCUUUUAAAAUCCACACUGGUCGUGAAGUGAUUAAAGUUUCUGUUUGAAUUGACUUGGGCCGUGCCGAUUGAUCAUUAAACGCAGAAUAAAACCUGGAGAAUUCUUUCUGCAGCUGAUCGAAGAUUAUGAUGCUACGUUUUCUGGAAUAGAGAUUUUAAAAAUUUCUCAAAAUUUUUAUUACAUUUUUAUAUAUUAAA